rnacentral:rRNA from 1 species
UGGGGAAUAUUGCACAAUGGGCGCAAGCCUGAUGCAGCCAUGCCGCGUGUGUGAAGAAGGCCUUCGGGUUGUAAAGCACUUUCAGCGAGGAGGAAGGGUAGUGUGUUAAUAGCACAUUGCAUUGACGUUACUCGCAGAAGAAGCACCGGCUAACUCCGUGCCAGCAGCCGCGGUAAUACGGAGGGUGCAAGCGGUACUCGGCAUUACUGGGCGUAAAGCGCACGCAGGCGGUUUGUUAAGUCAGAUGUGAAAUCCCCGCGCUUAACGUGGGAACUGCAUUUGAAACUGGCAAGCUAGAGUCUUGUAGAGGGGGGUAGAAUUCCAGGUGUAGCGGUGAAAUGCGUAGAGAUCUGGAGGAAUACCGGUGGCGAAGGCGGCCCCCUGGACAAAGACUGACGCUCAGGUGCGAAAGCGUGGGGAGCAAACA